rnacentral:lncRNA from 1 species
GAAAAUAACUCUGAAUGGAGGCAAACUAUUUCUGUACAAUUCCAGUAAGCAUUUAUUGAGCCCCUGUGGUAUACUGGACCAGGCCCUGGGAAGAUGCAUGCACUUCAUGUGGCUUCUUUCCCUGAGGAACUAGGGGAGGAGAGGACACAGAGAUAGGACUAUGGGAUGGAGAGGAGGAAAAAGGGACCAUCAGAAUGCUUGGCAGCCAUUUCCUUAAAGCCACAGACCCAAGGCUGUGAUGGACCCAUGGGAGAGGAUAUAAAAGAUUCUGAAGCUGGAGGUCCUUCCUUUCUUGUCAGAGCCUUUGGAAAUGGGGAGUAGAAAUGUUA